AUACGGAGGGUGCAAGCGUUACUCGGAAUCACAGGGCGUAAAGCGCGCGCAGGCGGGCUGAUAAGUUGGAUGUGAAAGCCUACGGCUCAACCGUAGAACUGCAUCCAAAACUGUCAGUCUAGAGUGUGGGAGAGGAAGAUGGAAUUAGUUGUGUAGGGGUAAAAUCCGUAGAGAUAACUAGGAAUACCAAAAGCGAAGGCAAUCUUCUGGAACACUACUGACGCUGAGGCGCGAAGGCGUGGGGAGCAAACAGGAUUAGAUACCCUAGUAGUCC
rnacentral:rRNA from 1 species